rnacentral:rRNA from 1 species
AACCUGCGGAAGGAUCAUUAUUGAAAUAAACCUGAUGAGUUGUUGCUGGUUCUCUAGGGAGCAUGUGCACACUUGUCAUCUUUGUAUCUCCACCUGUGCACCUUUUGUAGACCUUGGGUAUCUCUCUGAUUGCUUUUAGCAUUCAGGAUUGAGGAUUGACUUUUUGUCUCUUCUUACAUUUCCAGGUCUAUGUUUCUUCAUAUACCCUAAUGUAUGUUUACAGAAUGUAAUCAAUGGGCCUUUGUGCCUAUAAAUCUAUACAACUUUCAGCAACGGAUCUCUUGGCUCUCGCAUCGAUGAAGAACGCAGCGAAAUGCGAUAAGUAAUGUGAAUUGCAGAAUUCAGUGAAUCAUCGAAUCUUUGAACGCACCUUGCGCUCCUUGGUAUUCCGAGGAGCAUGCCUGUUUGAGUGUCAUUAAUAUAUCAACCUCUUAGGUUGGAUGUGGAGUUUGCUGGCCUCUUGAGGUCAGCUCCUCUUAAAUGCAUUAGCGGACAACAUUUUGCCAAACGUUUAUUGGUGUGAUAAUUAUCUACGCUAUUGACGUGAAGCAGGUUCAGCUUCUAACAGUCCAUUGACUUGGACAAAUUUUUAUUUAUUAAUGUGACCUCAAAUCAGGUAGGAUUACCCGCUGAACUUAAGCAUAUCA